AGGAGAGUUGGGGCAGAGCUCAGUAGGGGCAGACAGGGUUGUGUAGUAAGACCUGAGGGGGACAGAGGGGUGGCUGUGACCUCCCUUCCCUGAAGUAAUUCAGAUGACUCAGAUGAGCAGUUUGAAAGUAGAAAGGAUCUGAAUAUCUGCUCCCAGCCUGAAGCUCUUCCUUUUCUCCAUUUGGUAUUUACAGGGCUGCUGAGAUCAAGUUUGGAUUUGAGUGAAAAGUAAAUAGGCCCUCAGCAAGGGUGAAGGGGCCGGCUUUCAGUCAGCCCGGCCCAGUCAUCUGUAUUAGUUUCUUCCUCCUUUCCCAACCCCGUCAGCCCUGGGUAUUAAAAAGCAUAGCAGUGAGCGUAGGUUGAGGGGUGGAGAGUGGAGGCACUGCACACUAAAAUCAGCGGCAAAAUGUACCCUCAGAGCUGUCUUUCGUGAGCCUCGCUGAAAACUAAGAAAUGGGCUGUGAGUGCUUCAUUUUGUAGUUGUUGCUUCGGGGGUUCCUUGCUUGGGGGAGAGAGUUGAAUAGAAGGAUCCUGUUCUUAUCACCCUAGGUUCAUACAAUGUCUCACACUUAACCUUCUAUGAAUAAACCAGCAACUCUUUGAGUGAAUAUCCCCACAGUCCAAUGAGGAAACUGAGGCAAAGACUAGAACAAGCUCUUACCUUCUGGAACUGGGUCACAUCCCGUGUCUGUCCCAGCUUUUUCUGUCCACAUUCCCACUUUCUCCCAGAUUAGGAUUGGGAAGAGCACAUUUCUGCUAUUCUUGGUGCUCAUGGACCAUACAGAAACCUUUUACCAGGACCAUUCUUUCUGCCACAGCAGAUUGAGCUAUGACAGGUCAAGGGCACCGCUUACAAAAUAAUAAACUUUAGGAGAAGGCCGUGGGGCCAGUCAUCCCUGUCCUCAUGGCAGGUGGGCCUGGCAGGAAGAAGACACCCACGACUCACCAUAUCUUUAAUCUGGCAGUGCCCAUAGCUGAAGACGAUGGCGUUAGGGGGGUUGCCCACUGGCAGCAUCACUGCAAAGGAGAUGCACAUGGUGACUGGGAUCAGGGUGUAGAGCGGAUUUAUGUGCAGCGUUUCGGACUAGGAGAAGAGAGAAUUCACAGAAGCGUUAGCCUUGAGAUGAGACUUGCAUUUCCUGUGCUUACUCUCGUGAAUGUGCUUUAGGUGAUGGCUUGGUGUUGGCUAGCCUUGGCUGGACACCAUGUGCUGGGGGCAGUUAAAUCACGCCCUCAGAAGCAUGUAGUGCUGGGCUACUUGGACGGGCUCCUGCUGCUGCUCACUCACUUCCCAUGGAAACAUGGGCUCCAAGUUACUUCCCAGAAGGGAUGUUUCAUUUCUUGGUGCUGGUUUAAGGAAGUGGUUUUAAAAUUUUAUUCUUUAGCUGAGAAAUUCUUCAAAUACAAAUCUCAUGAAUAAGCUGCUUUGAUGGGAGUAGGCAUCUCUCGCUCUUGGGGUGCAGAAUUAAGGGUUUUUUUCCCUAGGUAAGAUAAUUGCCUUACGUGGGACUUGAACCCGUGGUCUUACCCUCAAUGUUGCCAAGUUUUAACUAAGUGCAUUCCCAUGCUCACACAGGCAGGAUGAUGGAAGGGAGAAGUUGGAGGGAGUCAUCUGAGCAACGAGCAAAGAGUGGCUGGGAGGAGUUUGGGGUUAGAAAGAGCAGGAGGAUAUUAUUUUGUUGGCAAUGAGAAAGAGCCUUCAUUUUAUAGGUUCUACCUCACAGAACGGGACAGAGGCAGCAUUUUGUUUGGUGCAUUACCUUUGGGGCUGCUUAGCCAGGCUGAGAUCUGGCAGUUGCUCCCUCCCCUAUUCCAUUAAUAACAAAUUGUUCUGAGACCGUGGAAUGAGGCUGGCAUUGCUCAUAAUUCUCAGAAUCUCCUGGACAGAGAAGCUGGGUGGAGGCGCUGAUGACAGAGCUGUGGUUUUGGUCUCUGCGGCCGAGAGUACUUCUGGGAGCAUUUUGCCUCCAUUUUCUGUAGCUAUUUCUCCCACCCUCCUGUUAGGUCUCAUCUUAGGAGAGAAAGGUUGAUGAUGAUUGUGGGGAAUUAGAAUCCUAUGGUUUUAAGGUUAUCUUGUCCACUCUUGUUUCCAUUCAGGGCUGCCCCUAAACUAAGCCUAGUCCUUUGGAAAAGGGUUUCUAGAACUCUUGCUGUUAUUAAUUAUCUCUUUACUUAUCAGUUACUAUUUGAAAUAGACUUCAUCUAUCAAACUAUGGCUUGAACACCAAUCAGUGAAGGCUGUGGCAAUGACCGGAAGAGAGAGUCCAGCCGUGGAACUGCCCCUGGGCCCGGGCCUGCCCCUGUCUGCUCCUGUGGUAGCCGGUCUGGAUAUCUGGGAACCCUGCUCUACUCACCAGGCUGCACAGGAUAGGCAGGAAGAUGGUGAUGGUGGCCGGGUUGCUCACAAACUCUGUGACAAUGGACACCAGGAUGCACGCCAGCAGGGUGACAGCCCACGGUGGGAGGCUACUCAGAGACAACAUCUGGUGCCCAAUCCACGUGGAAAGGCCGGAGCUCUGCAGGAGACAAGGAGAGGAGAGGCUUCCUGAGAAGAAAGCCAGAACAAAGAGUGGAAGACAUCCAGAAGACCUGAACUGAAAGUAAAGAACAGUUCCAAGAGCUUAAGUAACAAGACCAAGGUCAUGUGGAUGGUAAGUGGCAGCUCUUGAUCCCAAGCCUGGACUCAGACUCCAAAGACUAUUUUCUUCCUGACUCCACACUGCAGCUUCCCUAAAAAACGGAGACUUUCAAGGGAACAAAGUGCUUCCUGGGUCCACGACUAUCCCAAAGAAUCUAGGAGGGGACACCGGCGGGUACUGCCUGAAGGGUUUGGGUUAGGGGGUUGUUCUUAGAGACAAUAUCCUUUACUUUUCAAAGAAGGAAUCCCAACCAGGAACAAAGCCAGGCUCCCGGGUAAACCACAGCACCGUCAUCAGGAUGAAGAAAAAUCCAGUCACCAUUUCCGGGUAGCUAUAAAAGAAAACAGACCCACUCCAGGAAUUGGGAAGUAUCUGUUAGCUUUCAGACUUUGCUUUGGGAUGCUCCUGUAUGCAGAGCUCCAAUAGUGGGGACCUAAAACGCAGCUACUGCUUAACCACUUGGACUUGGAAUACAGCAGAGCGGAAGGGUGGCCCUUAGAGUCUGGGCCAGCUUGACUUUGGCAUUAAGUAGCACCUCUAAAUGCCUGGAUUCGUAGCUGAGGAAAAUUCCCCCAGCUCAAGGGACCGCUGAGAACAAGGCUGCUUCUGUGCACACUCUACCUGCCACGCUUUCUCCUGGGGAAGGAGAGAGGUUGAAGGGCUGAUUCUUACGUAAUGGCUCCCAGCUUUUCAUAUUCCUCUUGGAUCCUCUUCUCUGAUAACUCUUCCCUUUUGGUCUUCUUCUUCUUACUCAGAGAGCAGGUCUCUUUAAAACUGAGAUGGGAGAAUGAGCAAAAGAAUAAAGGAAGCACACUUCUGAGGCCCAGAGGAGAAGAGGUCUUAAGCAAAUACUAAACUACUGGCUGGCUGGCUGUGAUGGCUCUUCUCUCCACUCGCCCCACCUAUCAUGCGACCUGAUCUCUUGAUCUGCCAAGUUACACAGCCUCUCAUCAGCCUUCUCCCCAGCCUUUCGGAGCUCAUAGAGAAGUGCAGAGUCCACGUAUGUUUAGAGUGUCUAGAAGAUGUGAUGCCUGACUCCUCAUCUAGUCCACUGCAUCCUCCUCCGGGCAUCCUCUGUGGUUACUUGGCAGCUCCCCGCUGGGUGGCACCCUCCAGGGCUUGCGCCAUGGCCCUGGAUGGACAGGAGAGCCUUGAUGGCAGGGCCCUGGGACUCACUUGCAGCCCAGGAACAGCCAGUGCAUCCAGAACCAGCUGACCACCAGCAUGAUGAGGGAGAUGGGGAAGCUGAAGAGGAACCAGGUGCCAAAGUUGACCACUUCUGCUGCUGGAUACUGGCUGGAGGGGAAAGAACCAGAGAUUUCCUUGUGUCUGGUUGAUGAGUUCUUUGCAACAGAAGGAUCAUCUCUCCUCUCCGAGACCAUUUCCUGGGGGCCAUCGUCAGGGAGGAAGACAGAUGGACCAUUGAAUCAUUCGUGCAGAUAAGCUGGGUGCUGUGAUGGGCACUCUGUCCCUCAGGGACCGAGCAGGGGGCGACUAAUGGUCUAACCUCGCUGGAUCGCAGGACUCCGAAGAACGGGUAGAGGAAGGCAGGCACCAGGGCUGCAGCUCCAAGAGGCACCGCCUCGGACACCCAGUACACAGCAGUCACGAUCAACACGUCCAGGAGUGAAGGAAGGAGAGAAAGGAGAGAGAGAGAGAGCGAGAGCUAUUUCCUUCUACCAUGCAUCGUUUUGGUUUGAAUUAGGAGAAUUUGGGUAAGCCAAGGGUGAAGGAACUGCCAUUGCUAUCACUGGUCCUGGGAACCACCCUCCCAUUCACGGAUCUCCUGCCCCUGAGUGCAGCCACGUAUAUCCUAACAUGACAGUGAUCCCCAAAGGAGACAGUGAGCAACAGAGUAUGGGCAAGUAGAGGCAGCAGAAGAAACUGGGAGAUGCCUCGAGGAAUGGAUAUAAAGAUAAUCAGAACGGGACCCAAAGACAGAACAGCAGAGACACCAAC